rnacentral:tRNA from 1 species
GCCGGAGUGGUGAAACUGGUAGACGCACUGGACUCAAAAUCCAGCGGGCUUUGGCCCGUGUCGGUUCGAUUCCGACCUCCGGCACCA